rnacentral:rRNA from 1 species
AGAUUGAACGCUGGCGGCAUGCUUUACACAUGCAAGUCGAACGGUAACAGGCCGCAAGGUGCUGACGAGUGGCGAACGGGUGAGUAAUGCAUCGGAACGUGCCCAGUCGUGGGGGAUAACGCAGCGAAAGCUGUGCUAAUACCGCAUACGAUCUAUGGAUGAAAGCGGGGGACCGAAAGGCCUCGCGCGAUUGGAGCGGCCGAUGUCAGAUUAGCUAGUUGGUGGGGUAAAGGCCCACCAAGGCGACGAUCUGUAGCUGGUCUGAGGGGACGACCAGCCACACUGGAACUGAGACACGGUCCAGACUCCUACGGGAGGCAGCAGUGGGGAAUUUUGGACAAUGGGCGCAAGCCUGAUCCAGCAAUGCCGCGUGCAGGAAGAAGGCCUCGGUUGUAAAGCACUUUGGUCAGGAAGAAACGGCGUACCUUAAUACGGGCGUCACUGACGGUACCUGCAGAAUAAGACACCGGACUAACGUACGUGCCAGCACG